AUUGAACGCUGGCGGCAGGCCUAACACAUGCAAGUCGAGCGGAGCGGCGGACGGGUGAGUACUGCCUAGGCAUCUGCCUGGUAGUGGGGGAUAACGUCAGAAACCGGGAGCUAAUACUACAUCCUAUAAGCUUAGGCUAGGUCGGAUUAGCAGGUUGGUGGGGUAAAGGCCUACCACGGAGACGAACAGGACCGGGUCUGAGAGGAUGAUCAGUCCGCCUGGAACUGAGACACGGUCCAGACGCCUACGGGAGGAAGCAGUGGGGAAUAUUGGACAAUUGGCGAAAGCCUGAUCCAGCCAUGCCGCGUGUGUGAAGAAGGUAUUCGGAUUGUAAAGCACUUUAAGUGGGGAGGCGUUACCAACAGAAUAAGCACCGGCUAACUUCGGGCCAGCCGCCGCGGUAAUAC
rnacentral:rRNA from 1 species